CUGUGUCCCUGGACUUGGACUUCUCAGUACCCGCCCUCCUCCCUAGAAAAAGUAGGAUGAUUGGAGAGGGCUGGGAUUGGGCAUUUCCUCUUCCCCGGUCAGUUAGACUCUGAGAAAACCCCAGCAGGCUGAACUCUAGGAAUAAAGUUUCCCCUGAGAGCAAGCCUUGCUCAGAAGAACACAGUGACUGGUGUAUUUUGAAAUGGUUUCUUCCCUUCCUCUUACUGAAAGCAUGAGGGGAUUUUCUCUGACGUUCACUAGAGAACCAGGUUACAGUCUUGGAGGUGAAGCUCAGCACAGCGUGGGGCUCCCGGAGAUUGGGUCACCCUGAAGUCUUGCUCUUGAUUAGAUUUGUCCACACUUCUGGCAGUUCGUUAAUUACCCUUCCGGUUUCCUCCCCUGGCACUGGCUCCUGCUGAGGGCUUUGGCCCCGAAUUUCUGCUCUGGGGCUGCUGGGAAUGAAGACUUCUCCUUCCGGGAGCCUGCUGUCUGCGGACCUCACAGAACUCAGCUGAGUCCUACCUGCUUCCUUUUCUUGGCACUGAAGAUGAAAGACACUGAAGAUGGAAGAUUGAGCAAGACAGGAGGACCCAGCUCUCUAUACCAUGGAGGAAAACAGGUCACUUGGGAAACAGAAAGAAUGGUUGGAAGCAUCAUGGCGCAGGCACACCAUGGCUUCCUGUGCCACCACUAGGAAGAGGAAGUGCGGCCCCCUGUGCUGGUCCCUGCUGUCCCCUCUCCGCACUGGACCUUCCCAGCUGCCACGCACCAGGUGCUGCACUGGCUCCUCCCUGGUCCCUGCCUCAGAUGCCAUGUCCUUCGGAUGUGCUUUUCAGAUUGCUGCCAGAGGGAACUCUUCAAAAAUGCAAACCUGACCAUGUCCUUCCUCACUCUCAAACCCUCGCUGGC
ensembl:lncRNA